rnacentral:lncRNA from 1 species
UGGCUGAUAGCGAGUGGCUUCUAAUCAGUGCAACACAGUAUGGGGAGAGACAGUCAAAGUUUGGGUGAUCAAUCAAAGAACAGAAAAGCACGUUGUGAGUAGGAGGCAUCUGGAACAAAGUAUCUACGGUGCAGAAUGUUGAUGUUGAAAAAUAAUCAAGCUACAGGGAGCCCGUAGCCGGGGAGCCCUGGGCGAGCUGGUAGCUGCCUGACGCCAUAUCCUGCAAGUGUGCUGAGUAUCUUCAUCAUGUCGCGUGCCAUCGAGUCUGCUAUACUGGCCUGAAUGUAUGUGGCGGCACGCGCAUGAGCAGCGAUGCGAGCACUGGGUCACCCCAUGGAACAACCAUGUGCACCCACCAUUCAGAUGAUGAAGAGCAUGAGAAAGCCCCAGGACAUGUGGCGCCGCAGGGACAGGGGCAUGCACGGUUGGCGUGCGGCACUAGUGACCAUACCAUUUGCACUACUGGAAACUCGAAUACUUCUGUGGAUGUUGAAUUUUUCUAUGCGUUUUUUUCCAUACGCACACAGAAGAAUUCAAGUUUCAGUGCACAUGUACUCUUUGUUUCUGUUUUGCAUCAGCUAGGCUAGGGGAGGCGUGUGGCCGAAGGCAUGUUUGGUCGACGAUGCAGCCCGGGUUGUUCGGUUCUGUGUGCCCAUGCCAAACAUCGGUACACACAGCGCACAUCAUGGAAAAGAGGCGAGUUUGUAACAAACUAGAUAAUUAGAAGGAAAUGCUUGCUACUAGCACGAGGGUUCAGAUGCAUCCUAUUACAUAGGCUGUGUCUAUUUUGCAGGUUGAUGUUAUUCGUAUUAAGAAGCUCAGUGGAUGGGCAUGAACGCACUUUAUAUACUCUAUGUUCUAGCUAGCUGCUUCCUGCCUGUGAGCUGUUAUAUAUGUGUGGCCGCUAGCGAGUAGUGAGUGGCUUCAAACCACUGCAAGUUUGAGAGAUCAAAGAACAAAUUGAAGUUCACUAUGAGUAGGAGGCAUCUGGAACAACAUUGCCUAUGGUGCAGAAAAUUGCUUUGCAUAUCUGCAGCAUGUUGGUACGUAGAAGCCUUCCCACUAGUUGGCUGACACUCUAAGCCCAGUUGUGGCAGCGCAGAAAUCUUCUCUUCCACACUGGCUUAUUCCAUCUUUUUAGUUGGGUGCAUUCACAUAGGAUGCUGAAGGUCCCCUGUGCUCUUUCCUUUCUUCUUGCGCUACUGCCCUUUGCAUGGGAGGCUUGCGCUUGUCAAAGGAUCAACAUGUCCUGUGGACGCUCUCAUCAUUGCUUUGGCUUCUUCCAUAGGAGUGGAGGAGUAUAUAUAUGGCGGCGCAGGCUGUCAAUGUAAUCCACCUCUGAGGAUGUAUUUGCGAC